rnacentral:precursor_RNA from 15 species
CUCAGAAACAGAUCCCUGCAGGUCUCAAACUGAGCAGCUGGUGGGCUAUGAGCAGAAGUGUCAAACUCACAGCCCACCAGCUGCUUGGUUUGCGGCUGACAUAGCUGCUUUGCCUUCAU